rnacentral:rRNA from 1 species
CAAUAAAUUGUAUUCCCCUAGUAACGGCGAGUGAACCGGGAAUAGCUCAAAUUUGAAAUCUGGCGUCCUCAGGGCGUCCGAGUUGUAAUCUAUAGAGGCGUUUUCCGUGCCGGACCGUGUCCAAGUUCCUUGGAACAGGAUAUCAAAGAGGGUGACAAUCCCGUACUUGACACGACGACCGGUGCUCUGUGAUACGUCUUCUACGAGUCGAGUUGUUUGGGAAUGCAGCUCAAAAUGGGUGGUGAGUUCCAUCUAAAGCUAAAUAUUGGCGAGAGACCGAUAGCGAACAAGUACCGUGAGGGAAAGAUGAAAAGCACUUUGGAAAGAGAGUUAAACAGUACGUGAAAUUGUUGAAAGGGAAACGAUUGAAGUCAGUCGUGACCGAGAGGCUCAGCCGGCUCUGCCGGUGUAUUCCCCUCGGUCGGGUCAACAUCAGUUUUGUCCGGUGGAUAAGGGCGGUAGGAAGGUGGCACCCUCGGGUGUGUUAUAGCCUGCCGUCGCAUACAUCGGGUGAGACUGAGGAACGCAGCUCGCCUUUAUGGCCGGGGUUCGCCCACGUCCGAGCUUAGGAUGUUGACAUAAUGGCUUUAAACGACCCGUCUUGAAACACGGACCAUAAGUUCAGCGCGUAUUCCUACUUUCUUUGACGUCAGAGUCAAAGGUGCGCAAUGGCGGUUGUACACACACUCACAAGCACGGUGUGACACAUACUCAAGACUCGUGAUCUGGGCGAGCGACUCAUAAGUGCUUUUAGGCGCGCCGGGUACCAGUGCGCGAGUCCAGCGCCACUCGUCCUAGACGCAAGGAAUGACAUUUCAUGACAUCAACAACCUGCCUUCGUAUUCAGAGCAACAGUUCUCAGUCGAACUAGCAUCCGCACUCAUUCGUGUCGGUAUCAUCUCCGACGGAACGAAGUC